CACCACUACAGCAAACAUUGGAUUACCGUGAAAGCAACAAACUUGACCGGACAAAACGCCCACCGCUGCAGCGGUGUCCUCUAAGCUCCGGAGGGAACAGCAGGAACCCGAAGCCCUUCUUCCAGCGCUAAAACUGAAAUAAUAAAGUCUGUGUUCUCUGGAGCGACCUACAGCUAAGAAGAUGUCAAUGGCUUAUAAAGAUGAUGAGGAAGACUGGUUGACAGUUUGCCUCAAGUACCUGCUCUUUCUGUUUAACUUUCUUUUUUGGGUGGGUGGAGCCGCAGUCUUGGCUGUAGGAGUGUGGACCCUGGUGGAGAAGAGUGACUACCUUAGUCUAUUGGCCUCCAGCACUUUUGCUGUUUCAGCGUAUAUCUUGAUCCUGGCUGGCAGCCUAGUGGUUGUUACUGGCUUCUUGGGCUGCUGUGCUGUUAUCCGGGAACAGAGAAGCUGCCUUUCCACGUAUUUCUUCUUCCUGCUGUUAAUAUUCUUGAUUGAGUUGGUGGCUGGCGUGCUGGCUUACGUUUACUACCAGAGGCUGAGUGAUGAACUGAAGGAGCACCUCAACCAGACAAUGACUGAGAAUUAUGCUCAGCAAGGGAAGGAGACAAUCACAUCAGCAGUGGACAGACUGCAACAAGAUUUCAAGUGCUGUGGCAGCAACAACUCUCAGGAUUGGAUGCUGAGUGUGUACAUUAGGUCAGAGCAGUCGGGGAACAGGGUGGUGCCUGACAGCUGCUGUAAAACCAUUACGCCUGACUGUGGCAGGAGGGACCAUCCCUCCAACAUCUAUAAAGUGGAGGGUGGUUGCAUCACUAAGCUGGAGCAGUUCCUUGCAGAUCAUCUAUUGGUUAUUGGUGCGGUGGGAAUUGGUGUGGCCUGUCUUCAGCUGGCCGGGGCACUCUUGACAGCCUGCUUUAUCUAUCUGCUCUAUAAGGAAGAGGAAGAGGACUUUGGUGCAUUGUAAUUUGGCUCUAGAGCUCCUUGGUGCUUUUAAUCAAAUGGAUAGACAAGGUUGGAAGAUCUGUGGGAUGGUGUUCACCUGCUGCUUGCACAGAAGGAUUAAGAUGGAUCCUUACUAGGCGUACAAGACCCAACAAACCACCGGUAACAUGCAAAUGUGGCAAAGCCUGCCGACACCUGAUUUCCACAUCUGGAUCUGGGAUUACAAUCAGACAAUAGUGAGUGAAGUGAAGUUUACAUGCAGCACUGUCAGAAACUAAUUAAGCCGUUGAGUCUUAUUUCCACAAGAAGAAGAUAUAUUUAUUUGGCUUACAUGCAUGAUUUAAAUGGAGAUGAACGAUUACCUUCUGUAACUAAUGCAAAAAUAAAGAUUUGUCUUUUUUCCCCCCUUACUUAAUACAGUAUCAUCAGUUUUUGAGAGCAAACAAGCAUUUAUAAAAGACACUGGCUACACUUGUCAUUGUUUAUGAAGAGAUGGAACAUAAUGUGCCUUUUUUCAAGAUUGUGUUUAUUAUGUGCCGAGUGCCUUGAAGCUUUAAAGGAAAUAUGACAACACAACAUAGUAAAGUGUAUAUUUAUUGGUGGUUAGUUUAAAUGUUUCUAUCAAAACUAUAAUGCUGAAUUUUACAUGAUUAAUCAAAGUUAACUCGUCAAAGUUGCAACACUACCAAAGUUUUUCCCACAGGUUAUUUCUUACAAAAUGCUAACACAUUUUUGAAUUUAGAACUCCACCUAGUGGACGCAGCUCUCAAUUAAAAACAAGCCACAGUUUUGUAAAAGACAUGGAUGGUAAUCUAGUUUCGUUUUCUAUAAAAUGUUAAUUUUGAAAUUAUUCCGAUAUCAAUGUUUUCACAUUAAAGCAAAAAAUUUAUUUAAUCUCUUUUUGUCGUCGUUAAACUUUCUGCUGAAGAUAUGAAUAUUUUAAAUUAGAAAUGUGUUCUUCAUUGUUACUGUUUCUAGUAGUAAUCAUUGUAUCAUUUAAUCUGAUUAAAAGAAUUUAUCAUUGCCAAUGUUGUAUUUUAUUUAAGGGUACUAACUUAUGAGUAUUGUUGCUAAUGAACUAGUAACUCUGGCAUGUGGUUGCUAUUGAUUGGUUGACCAAUAUAAUUGUUCUGAAGCUUAUAAGUAAAGGUAAUAAAGAUUUUAUUGCAUUAACUCUUUAAAGAAGUUAACACCACUGCUGGUUGACAGAUGAUUGCAUAUUUUCAAAUAUCUGUUUGGUAGUUAAUAGAAUAAUUGGCACAAUAAUAUAAUUGGUUUAUUUAUCAGGGUUAAUUUAGAAGGUUACCAAAGUCCUGUUUCCUGUUGCCUGAGUAGUUUAUCUUCAUUGUAACCACUAGAGGGCGACAAAGACUUUUUGUUUGAAAUUAUUACACCUUUUCAUCUAAUCUGUCGCCUUGCAUGGAUUGAUCUCAUUUUAAAAACACUUCUCAAAAGUGCUAUAAGUCCUUAACGCUUCUUUUUUUGUUAAAACUCUUCUCUGCUCUCUCCAUCCUGUAUUCACUGGUUUUGUUUUAUUUUUUAAAAUAUGCUUACUAGUUUCUAGUUGGUGCAUUACAGCAAAACAAACAUCCAGUUGUUGCAUGCACCAAGGCGAACUUUUUUUCCCCUCUCCCACCUCCUGUUUCCCUCAUCAAAGAAGCUUAAGAAAAGACAUGUUAAAGCUAUACAAAUAAGAUGGAAGUACACUUCCAAAAAUAAAAAGAAUAAACCAGCAUGUGGGGGAAAGAAGGUAUCAGUGGCGAUACGAUUCUUAAUGUGAUUUACAGCCUGGACAUACAUACCUAUAUAUUUGUGUACAUGCAUUUAAAUGAUAUAAUCAAAUACUGAAAACAAUUAUAUAAUGGUCUUUGAUGACAUAUCACACCAUAUCUACAUUCUAUUUCUAUAGAACCCCCACCUAUGAAGCGAGUUUGCAACAUUAGUGUUAUGUCUUCAAUCCCUGACUGCGUUACAAGCUUUUAUACCCACCUAUCAUGUCAGGACAGUUUUUUCUUUCAUUCAUUUAUUUAUUUUUUGUUCAUUUAGUAUGGAUCAUUAUGCCUUUUUUGAAACCAUAGUAAUUGUUGAAAAAGUGAUUGUUGAUUCUGUAAAUCUUGAGAUUUCUGUUUGUGUGUCUUGAAAUGAGUCUCAGAUUAUCUUGUGAACACAGUAUUAUACUACAAAUGUUAUAGUAAUCUUACUUUCCUUUGGGGUUUUUAUUGUGAAAGUAAAUCUUCCUUUUUUUCUGUGCUAAAAGGAAUAUCUUUAUGCUCUGCAGCUAAUUUAGUUUGCUGCAAUUUGCUUUUGAUGUAUUCUAAUAAUUUUUUUAUGUUCUCAAACCUGCCUAACACUUAAUGCUGUAAACAUUUCGCAAGUCCCUCUCCAAAUAACGCACCCUUUCAACUUUUUUCACAUUUUGACCUGUUACAACCACAUACCUGAAUGUUUUUUUACUGGGAUUUUAUGAGGUGGAACAUGCAUGCCACUCAUGAAUAGAAAGUCGUUAAACGUUCCUGUUUGCAGCUGUGGCAGAGAUGUAGCAAACAUGUGGAAGAUGGUUCCACAUGUUUCAAUUUUGUUUUUUUAAGAUAAAGAAUAAAAUUUAAUUUCUGACCAA